UGUGUCCUUGUCGUGGAGGAUUGGUAA
rnacentral:piRNA from 1 species